AAAACAAUCGCAUGAGUGCUGCUGUUUGAAUGAGGAAGAAUAAAGUAGUCGUGAGUGAACACAAGAUGCCGGCAGUCCUGAGAGUUGUCCUUGGAGUUGAUAAUGCAUCAAAGUGAAUUCUGCCCACUGGAAUACCUGAUUCAGUUGAGGUCCUUAACGAAAAGAUUAGAAGGAACUUUGCAUUGUCUGGCAAUUUCAUGAACUGGCAUCAGAAAUUGAUUGAUAAAAUACAAAGUUUAUCCUUCAAGUGCUGAGUUUGAUGAUGUGACUCAUGGUCAGGUAUUCUUGAACAAGGAACAGUGACAGGCUUCUAUCAAUGGAAAAAAAGUUUAAAGUCCAAAAUGGCAAACUACCACACACUAAGGAACAUUGGCUGCAUCAAUUCUGUAAAGCGAGGUGCCACAAGUCAAAGACCAAACCAGGUUAAAAAGUCCAGGAAAGCAGAAGUUACUUAUAUCCUGAUUACCCAGCAGAUGAAACUAAAGAAAACCUUGAACAGAAAGGACAAGCACUCAUAUUACAGGUGGAGAAGAAGAAGAGGAGCUAAUCAACUAUAAAAUGGAACAAACCUUUGCCUAAAGGAGACACAAAGUCAUUGAAGGCAAGCCCUUCACAGCAGAGUUCAAGAACAGAUGGCCGGCUCUGUUUUCCGGCAGUAAUGUUAUAUCAUUUUUGUAUUUUAUUCUCAUAGGUUAUGCAUAAGGAAUAAUCCUUUAAAUUUGAAAACUGUGGACUUCAUUGUGUAGCUGUAAUUCUUCUGACUCUGAUAAAAAAAGUGGGAAUUAUGCGCUUGUUCUGCUUAUAUUACAAUACUCAUUCUGCAUAGCAUACAACAUGCAAGUCAGUGACCCUGCACCUGAAAACUUCCAACCAAAACCAGAUGUUCUUACGUAGAAUAUGUUAUAGCUGAUCAACAUCAAUUUUAGCUUGCUCUGAGAUACACUUGGCUAAAAGUGUUUUCAGGUUAAUGCAGAGUUCACCCGCAUCACCACAGUCCUCUCGUCUAAAUCUUUUUGGUCCAACUGGAUCAUUACUCCAGCAAACUACUAAGGGUGUUUAAAAAGAAUGGGGGGACAGCAGGACACAGUAUCAGACAGAUCAUGGCAACCAUGCACAAGGUAUGCAUGUUGAAUGAGUUUGUGAUUGUUUAAGGUCUUGACACUGAGGUGUAAACCAGGAAGCAAGUUCGAUAUAACCAGGCUUUAUAUCUUUUAGUCUACUUGACAAAAUGUAAAGUCCCAGGGGUAGCAGCUAUUAUGUCUGUGGUUCUAAACUUUCUUACUCCAGGGUUUCAGCUUAAGGAUCUGUGGACUUAAAAAGGAGCGUUUGAUGCUUCAUUUUUCUUCUGCACAGAAUGUUGAUUUAAAAAUAAAAAUGCAACAAUGAUCCUG